AGCACACACGUGCAGAAGGAAAGAGCGCCCAUGCUGAGCAUCGGUGGAUCCGUGGGGCCCUCCACUACCCUUCCUCCUACCGCUCCAGCUUCCAUUCAGACUGUUUAUUCAUUGACUGCAUGACUAAGAUCAGCAAUCAGAUAAAAUACAGGGAAUGGAAGUUCAUUCAUAAAGCUUCAGGAACCAAAACUUUUUAAAUAAUGAGUGAUUUUGAAGCCUCGAACACAUGAUGCUAAAUUGGAGACAGGACUUUGGAUGAUAGAUGGGGAAACGGAAGAACGAGCAAUUAAACACAGUUCCCAGACAUCGACUGGCUCCAGUGAAGUCUAUGAUGCCUAAGGGAUGUGGACGAAACCCCAAAGCACAUGCAGUGAUUGGACCAAGUCCUUGUUUCUCCCCUGGACCUGGCGUCUGGACUUGCCCAUGCUCUAGAUUUAAGCUUUCCCAGUAAUGCAAAGCAGUGCUGUUAUAAUAGUAAGCUAUCAUAACACAAGAACCUCAGCCUCUGCU
rnacentral:lncRNA from 1 species